UGUUUGGUUGUCAACUGGACCACACGCACACACACACAUCCAAUCCCGUUGACCCUCUCUCUCUCCUCCCUUUCGGAUUUUUUUCCAUUCGUCUGCACACUCGUUCGGUCAUCUCCUUAACUCUCGUCAUCUCUCACAGAUCGAGGUGUUUAAGACCACCAUCGUACUCCUCGUGACUUCACAAGUUGAGUGGUACCUUUGGGACGACGAACGGUUCACGGGAACUCGAGUUACCCGAACUCCGGUGAGGGGUGAUUUUCCUCCGACGUGAUCGCGAGGGUUUUAAGUGGUUUUGAGACUUAAGAAGUUGCAGGGUUUGGUCGGUUUCCUUGAAUUUUUCUGGCGAGAUUCCGUUGGUUUUAGGACUCCAAAGUGUUUCCGGUGACACAGACGGCGGCCAGCGGCGGAGUCUGGCGAUCCACCGGAGAAGAAAGGAGAAUAUUCCGUCAACUUUGACGGAAUAUUCCUAACGGCGAUUAACGGCAUCAGGUAUGUUUAACGAAAUAUUCCUAACGGCAGUUAAGUUUUCAUCAAGGUUGGCCGCGCGUGGGGGCGUGUCUGGCCGUGCCUUUGCCGGCGUGUGGAUGGUCCAAAAAGUAUUUUAAAAAUAUGAGGAUGUUUGUGGUAUUGAGUAGAUCACAUUGGUAUAUUCAAACACCCCAUUUGAGCAAUGUAUGAGAAGUUAUUAGUUAGUUUCGUUUAUGUGCUUUAAAUACGUUUAUAUAGUUGUUUCGCAUAUAGGUGAGACCUAUCCUCAGGAUGAGCACAGUCAAUCAAGACUUGGGGGCUACGACCCUUCCACAUACUAGUGAGUGGGCUUUUGGUUUUCCGUAUAUACCUAUAUACUUGAGAUUUGUCCCAGAAAAUUGAUUUAAAAUGAAAUUAUGUUUAGAAAUGCCAUGCCUCAUGACUUAUACUUAGAUUAUGAGUUAGUAUAGUAUGCAUAUUGUGAUUUGACGCGGUGGACGCUUAGGUAUGUACCAGGUGAGUUGUAGACUGUUUAUGUGAAUUGAUGAUUAUGUGAGAUGUGUUGAGAGCUCAUAAAUCUGCCCCUCGGUGUUAGUGUUCCUGUCCAUGGUUAGGGCAUAGUCCUUCACGUGAUGUUCACCUCCUGCACCAUAUGCUCACCUUGGAUCCAAGUUAGGUGCAUAGUCCUGUCAUACAAACCACUAUAGGUGGUUCCGACUCAUAGGUGAUCGGUGAUUAUUCGCACAAUCUUCACAUGAUCAUAACACUUAAGUGUAUUUAUUUACACCCAGUCCUGUCGUACAGACCACUUUACGUGGUUCCGACUUGUGUGCAGGUAUAAUUGUUGAGAUGUGGAUUUAAGCCAUACAGGUCACGUUAGGUGACUCUGGCUAGAUGGAUGAGCUCCAGAUUCAGCCAUACAGGUCACGUUAGGUGACUCCGGCUGACAUAUCAUUUGCAUUGAUUUAUAUCACAUGGCUUACAUAUUUUUAUGCUGAGAUAUUCGACGUGGCAUACUUGUGAAUUUUGCUAUUCUAAGCAUAGUUGUGGUAUAGAUAUGUAUUCUAUUUUCUGGGAAAUUAUACAGGUUUUAUAGCGAGGGGUUACAAUCUUUGAUAAUUGAAAUGGUUUUGAAAAGCUUUGUUUUUACCCACUCACACUUUCUAUUUUGCGCCCCUCCAGGUUCUAGUUAGGAGUGCUUUUUGGUGGCUCGUGAGAAUCCAUGGCAUCUCUGACAGAUUACGACCAUUGUAUGGCCACCUUUAGGUGUUGUAUAAUUAGUAUUUGUCUUGCUGGACUGCACUUAGGCUACUUGUGCUCUGGUUGUGAAUUCAUACUUAGUUUUGUCUUGCACUUUUUUUUUCAUAUCUAGUGCUCUAGUUAGUUUGGUUUUUAUUUAUUCGCAUUUCUUAUAUUAUUAUUA